ACACAAAGCCCAGAUGCAGAGAAAAUGGCAGCAGGGGUCGAAGCAGCAGCUGAAGUGGCAGCGACAGAGCCCAAAAUGGAGGAAGAGAGCAGCGCGCCCUGCGUGCCGAGUGGCAACGGAGCUCCCGGCCCAAAGGGUGAAGAACGACCUACUCAGAAUGAGAAGAGGAAGGAGAAAAACAUAAAAAGAGGAAGCCAUCGCUUUGAGCCAUAUGCCAAGCCAACUAAAAGACAACGAGCCUUCAUUACAAAAUACCUUUUGAUGUGAAAUGGCAGUCACUUAAAGACCUGGUUAAAGAAAAAGUUGGUGAGGUAACAUACGUGGAGCUCUUAAUGGACGCUGAAGGAAAGUCAAGGGGAUGCGCUGUUGUUGAAUUCAAGAUGGAGGAGAGCAUGAAAAAAAGCUGCUGCAGUUCUAAACAAGCAUAGUCUGAAAGUCAAAGAAGAUCCUGAUGGUGAACAUGCAAGGAGAGCAAUGCAAAAGGCUAGAAGACUUGGAAGCACAGUAUUUGUAGCAAAUCCGGAUUAUAAAGUUGGCUGGAAGAAACUGAAGGAAGUAUUUAGUAUGGCUGGUGUGGUGGUCCGAGCAGACAUUCUGGAAGAUAAAGAUGGGAAAAGUCGUGGAAUAGGCACUGUGACUUUUGAACAGUCCAUUGAAGCUGUGCAAGCUACGUCUAUGUUUAAUGGCAGUUGCUGUUUGAUAGACCGAUACACGUCAAGAUGGAUGAGAGGGCUUUACCAAAGGGAGAUUUUUUUCCUCCUGAACGCCCACAGAAACUUCCCCAUGGACUUGGUGGUACUGGCAUGGGGUUAGGACCUGGAGGGCAGCCUACUAAUGCCAACCACCUGAACAAAGGCAUUGGAAUGGGAAACCUAGGGCCUGCAGGACUGGGGAUGGAAGGAAUAGGAUUUGGAAUAAAUAAAGUUGGAGGCAUGGAAGGACCCUUUGAUGGGGGUAUGGAAAACAUGGGGCGGUUUGGAUCUGGGAUGAACAUGGGCCGAAUAAAUGAAAUCCUAAGUAAUGCACUGAAGAGAGGAGAGAUUAUUGCAAAGCAAAGAGGAGGUGGAGCUGGAGGCAGUGUCCAUGGGAUCGAGAGGAUGGGCCCUGGCAUUGACCGCAUUAGCGGUGCUGGCAUGGAGCGCAUGGGCGCAAACUUAGGCCAUGGCAUGGAUCGAGUGGGCUCUGAGAUUGAGCGUAUGGGCCUGGACUGCAUGGGCUCUGUUGAGCGCAUGGGCUCCGGCGUCGAGCGCAUGGGCCCACUAGGCCUUGACCACUUGGCCUCCAGUAUUGAGCGCAUGGGUCAGACCAUGGAGCGCAUUGGUUCUGGUGUGGAGCGCAUGGGUGCCGGCAUGGGCUUCGGCCUGGAGCGCAUGGCCGCACCCAUUGACCGUGUGGGCCAAACCAUUGAGCGCAUGGGCUCAUGGGUCCUGCCAUUGAGCGGAUGGGCCUAAGCACGGGUCGAAUGGUGCCCACAGGCAUGGGGGCCAGCCUGGAGCGCAUGGGUCCUGUGAUGGAUCGUAUGGCCACCGGCCUGGAGCGAAUGGGCGCCAACAGCCUGGAACGUAUGGGCCCUGCCGUGGGCCCAGCAUUGGGCGCUGGUAUUGAGCGAAUGGGCCUGGCCAUGCGUGGCGCCGGAGGUGCUAGCUUUGACUGAGCCAUUGAGAUGGAGGGAGGCAACUUUGGAGGAAGCUUUGCAGGUUCCUUUGGCGGAGCUGGAGGCCAUGCACCUGGAGUAGCCAGGAAGGCCUGCCAGAUAUUUGUGAGAAAUCUCCCAUUUGAUUUUACAUGGAAGAUGCUAAAGGACAAAUUCAAUGAAUGUGGCCACUUGUUGUACGCCGACAUCAAGAUGAAGAACGAAAAGUCCAAGGGAUGCGGUGUGGUUAAGUUUGAGUAUCCAGAGGUGGCUGAGAGAGCCUGCCGGAUGAUAAACGGCAUGAAGCUGAGUGGCCGAGAGAUUGAUGUUCGAAUUGAUAGAAAUGCUUAAGCAGUUGCCUUUUUUUAAACAUCAGUACCAGACCUCUGAAUUUGUAUUUUUUCUUGUUAACCAUUUACUUUGUUGGCUG